CGGCAUGCUUUACACAUGCAAGUCGGACGGCAGCACAGAGAAGCUUGCUUCUUGGGUGGCGAGUGGCGAACGGGUGAGUAACAUAUCGGAACGUACCGAGCAGUGGGGGAUAACUAAUCGAAAGAUUAGCUAAUACCGCAUAUAUUCUGAGGAAGAAAGCAGGGGACCAUUUGGCCUUGCGCUGUUUGAGCGGCCGAUAUCUGAUUAGCUGGUUGGUGGGGUAAAGGCCUACCAAGGCGACGAUCAGUAGCGGGUCUGAGAGGAUGAUCCGCCACACUGGGACUGAGACACGGCCCAGACUCCUACGGGAGGCAG
rnacentral:rRNA from 1 species